rnacentral:rRNA from 1 species
CUGGAUCAGGAUGAACGCUGGCGGCGUGCAUAACACAUUCAAGUCGAACGGAGUUGUUUGGUUGGAUCAUUCGGGUGACGACCUUUCAACUUAGUGGCGGACGGGUGAGUAACGCGUGAGCAACCUGCCUAUGUGUGGGGGAUAACUGACUGGAAACGGUCGCUAAUACCGCAUAACGUAGCGAGAUCGCAUGUUCUUGCUACCAAAGAUUUAUUGCACAGAGAUGGGCUCGCGCUAUGAUUAGAUAGUUGGUGGGGUAACGGCCUACCAAGUCUGCGAUCAGUAGCCGGACUGAGAGGUUGAACGGCCACAUUGGAACUGAGAAACGGUCCAGACUCCUACGGGAGGCAGCAGUGGGGAAUAUUGGGCAAUGGGCGAAAGCCUGACCCAGCGACGCCGCGUGCGGGAAGACGGUCUUCGGAUUGUAAACCGCUGUUGACAGGGAAGAACACAUGACGGUACCUGUCGAGGAAGUCACGGCUAACUACGUGCCAGCAGCCGCGGUAAUACGUAGGCGGCGAGCGUUAUCCGGAUUUACUGGGUGUAAAGGGUGUGUAGGCGGGAUGGUAAGUCAGAUGUGAAAUCCGGGGGCUCAACCCCCGGCCUGCAUUUGAAACUGCUGUUCUUGAGUGUCGGAGAGGUAAACGGAAUUCCCAGUGUAGCGGUGAAAUGCGUAGAUAUUGGGAGGAACACCAGUGGCGAAGGCGGUUUACUGGACGACAACUGACGCUGAGACACGAAAGCGUGGGGAGCAAACAGGAUUAGAUACCCUGGUAGUCCACGCCGUAAACGAUGAAUGCUAGGUGUAGGGGAGUUAUCUUCUGUGCCGCAGCUAACGCAAUAAGCAUUCCACCUGGGGAGUACGGCCGCAAGGUUGAAACUCAAAGGAAUUGACGGGAGCCCGCACAAGCAGUGGAGUAUGUGGUUUAAUUCGACGCAACGCGAAGAACCUUACCAGGUCUUGACAUCCUAGGAACCCGGCGUAAUGGCUGGGGUGCCCUUCGGGGAAUCUAGAGACAGGUGGUGCAUGGUUGUCGUCAGCUCGUGUCGUGAGAUGUUGGGUUAAGUCCCGCAACGAGCGCAACCCUUACGGUUAGUUGCUACGCAAGAGCACUCUAGCCGGACUGCCGUUGACAAAACGGAGGAAGGUGGGGACGACGUCAAAUCAUCAUGCCCCUUAUGAUCUGGGCUACACACGUACUAC